rnacentral:rRNA from 1 species
AUUUUUGAAAGUAAAAGUUGUAAAAAGGUCUUCGUAGGAGAACCAGCGGAGGUAUCAUUGCCGAGUUUACAACUCUCAAACCCCUGUGAACAUACCUUAAUGUUGCCUCGGAGGAUCAGCUCGCGCCCUGUAAAAGGGGACGGCCCGCCAGAGGACCCAAACUAUAAUGUUUUUUAUUGUAACUUGUGAGUAAAACACACAAAUAAAUCAAAACUUUCAACAACGUAUCUCUUGGGUAUGGCAUCGAUGAAGAACGCAGCAAAAUGUGAUAAGUAAUGUGAAUUGCAGAAUUCAGUGAAUCAUCGAAUGUUUGAACGCACAUUGUGCCCGUCUGGUAUUCCGGGGGGCAUGCAUGUUAGAGAGUCAUUUCGACCCUCAAGCCCCCGAGUUUGGUGAUGGGGAUCGUCUCUACCUUCGGGCGGUGCCGCCCCCGAAAUACAUUGGCGGUCUUGCUGCAGCCUCCAUUGCGUAGUAGCUAACACCUCAGCAAGUGGAAGUCGGAGCGGCCAGGCGGUAAAACCCCAAUUUCUGAAUGUGACCUCAGAUCAGCUAGAAUNCCAAAUUCC